AUAUCAAUAAGCGGAGGAAAAGAAACCAACAGGGAUUGCCUCAGUAACGGCGAGUGAAGCGGCAACAGCUCAAAUUUGAAAUCUGGCCCCCCCCCGCGGGGGCCCGAGUUGUAAUUUGGAGAGGAUGCUUUGGGCGCGGCGCCUUCCGAGUUCCUUGGAACAGGACGCCAGAGAGGGUGAGAGCCCCGUACGGUCGGACGCCUAGCCCGUGUAAAGCUCCUUCGACGAGUCGAGUAGUUUGGGAAUGCUGCUCAAAAUGGGAGGUAAAUUUCUUCUAAAGCUAAAUACUGGCCAGAGACCGAUAGCGCACAAGUAGAGUGAUCGAAAGGUGAAAAGCACUUUGAAAAGAGAGUCAAACAGCACGUGAAAUUGUUGAAAGGGAAGCGCCUGCGACCAGACGCGCCGCCCGUGGCACACCCGGCGCCCCCGCGCCGGGGCACGCUGCGGGCGGCGGGCCAGCAUCGGCUCUGCCUGGAGGACAAGGGCCGCGGGAACGUAGCUCCCCCCCGUGGGGAGUGUUAUAGCCCGCGGCGCGAUGCUCCAGGCGGGGCCGAGGACCGCGCUCGCAAGAGCAAGGAUGCUGGCGUAAUGGCCGCCGGCGACCCGUCUUGAAACACGGACCAAGGAGUCAAGCAGUGGGGCGAGUGUACGGGUGCCAAACCCGCGCGCGAAAUGAAAGUAAACGCAGGUGGGAGCCUCCGGGCGCACCACCGACCGAUCCUGAUGUUCUCGGAUGGAUUUGAGUAGGAGCCCUACUGCUUGGACCCGAAAGAUGGUGAACUAUGCCUGUAUAGGGUGAAGCCAGAGGAAACUCUGGUGGAGGCUCGCAGCGGUUCUGACGUGCAAAUCGAUCGUCAAAUAUGGGCAUGGGGGCGAAAGACUAAUCGAACCAUCUAGUAGCUGGUUACCGC
rnacentral:rRNA from 1 species